AAAUUAGGAAUCAAGCGAAGACAGCUUCAGAGCAGCCGGACUGUGUUCCACGGAAUCGUCACUGGCCUUUCCUGCUCACCAAUCGGCAAGAUCCUGAUAGAUGUCCUCUUCAGAGACAAAGAUCAUUUCCGCCGAGAGCCAAUUUGGUUUGAGGUGGUGGACCUUGAGAGCCCAUAUCAUGCACUGCUUGGCCGACCCGCCUUGGCCAAGUUCAUGGCGGUCCCCCACUACGCCUACCUCAAGAUGAAGAUGCCGAGUUCCAGGGGAAUCCUAACCGUGUCCGGCGACUACAGGAAGUCGUCCGCUUGCACGGCUGAAAGCAGUCGGCUGGCCGAGUCCUUGGUGAUCGCAGCUGAGAAACGGCUCCUUGAUCGGGUCGUGGCGAUGGCCGGCAAGCAGCCCGAGUUAUCGCCCGACCCCAAGGAGUCGGAAGCAGAAGGAUCAUUCAAGCCGGCCAGAGAAACAAAGAAGAUACCGUUGGACUCGGAGCACCCGGAGAGGUACGCUAUCAUGGGCACAGGC
rnacentral:rRNA from 1 species